AAAUUAGAAAAAUUCCAUCUCAACUUCACCACCACCUCCCGCUACAAUAUAACCGUACAAAUCGGUGUAUUGGAUUUUAUGGGAGUAACGGGUGAGCUUUUUCCAUCAGGACUCAGUGCCGCGUCACCACUAGGUCACAUGGCCCAUGCAUCGAAAAGUGCAAACCACCAAAAUAGUAGGGGUCCACGAACAAUACGACAAAUCCCAUUCCGGCCAAAAAUUGUAUUUGCCUUUUUUU
rnacentral:misc_RNA from 1 species